UUUGGGAAUGGAUCGCCGGCAUAAGUCGCCCCCCGCCGGCGCGCCUUUCCCGGGGGCGAGCCAACAGCUCGUCCCCACAGUUGCUCUUCCGGCGGAACAGAGCCCCCCUCUGUCGGAAGGUGCGCGACGGGCGGCGAAGCCCCCAAUUCGCCGCCCGUUUCC
rnacentral:sRNA from 1 species